rnacentral:rRNA from 1 species
UACGGAGGGUGCAAGCGUUAUCCGGAUUCACUGGGUUUAAAGGGUGCGUAGGCGGGCAGGUAAGUCAGUGGUGAAAUCUCCGAGCUUAACUCGGAAACUGCCAUUGAUACUAUUUAUCUUGAAUAUUGUGGAGGUAAGCGGAAUAUGUCAUGUAGCGGUGAAAUGCUUAGAUAUGACAUAGAACACCAAUUGCGAAGGCAGCUUACUACACAAUGAUUGACGCUGAGGCACGAAAGCGUGGGGAUCAAACAGG